rnacentral:rRNA from 1 species
UACGUAGGCAGCAAGCGUUGUUCGGAGUUACUGGGCGUAAAGAGUGUGUAGGCGGUUCUCUAAGUUCGGUGUGAAAUCUCCCGGCUCAACUGGGAGGGUGCGCCGGAAACUGGAGGGCUUGAGUAUGGGAGAGGAAAGCGGAAUUCCUGGUGUAGCGGUGAAAUGCGUAGAUAUGUGGAGGAACACCGAUGGCGAAGGCAGCCUUCUGGGCCAACACUGACGCUCAUGCACGAAAGCGUGGGGAGCAAACAGG